GUUAGGAAUAUUGGACAAUGGGCGAAAGCCUGAUCCAGCCAUGCCGCGUGAACGAUGAAGGCCUUCGGGUUGUAAAGUUCUUUAGCCGAUGAUUAUAAUGACUGUAGUCGGAAAAUAAGCCCCGGCUAACUUCGUGCCAGCAGCCGCGGUAAUGCGAAGGGGGCGAGCGUUAUUCGGAAUCACUGGGCGUAAAGCGUGCGUAGGCGGUUUUGUAAGUUAGGAGUGAAAGCCCAGGGCUCAACCUUGGAAUUGCUCUUAAAACUGCAAGGCUCGAAUCUCGGAGAGGAUAGCGGAAUUUCCAGUGUAGCAGUGAAAUGCGUAGAUAUUGGAAGGAACACCAGUGGCGUAAGCGGCUAUCUGGACGAGUAUUGACGCUGAGGCACGAAAGCGUGGGGAUCAAACAGGAUUAGAUACCCUGGUAGUCC
rnacentral:rRNA from 1 species